rnacentral:lncRNA from 1 species
GGUGGAAGAGCGAGAGCCCCGGCCACACGCGCGCCGGCCUUGCAGCGGCGGGCGGCGGGUUGUGCACGGCCGCCUCCGAUACUGGCCCGUUGUCAGGCCGCUCGGCUCAGUCUCUUCAGUCGGAGAGCGUUAGCAUCGUGGCGUUGCGGAGGUACUCGUCGAGGGCGCUCCGGCUGCCGGUGUCGCGUCGGUGGCGGCGGACGGUGGCGCGCAGGCGGGCCGCGUGCGAGACGAGGGCGUCGUAGAAGGCGGCGCAGGCCUCGGGCAGGUGGCGCGCGAGCGGCAGCCAGAGGUUGAGCGGCCACAGCAGCGGCGCCGACACCUGGAACACCUGCAGGAAGCCCCUCGCCGCCACGAACGCCACCAGGUGGAUCCCCAUCGAUCGACGAACGACUGGACCGACGGCUGCAAUACUAUCCUCGCCGGCGCACGCACGCACGCACGCGCACCUGUCUCGCUCGCCAACGAGACGAAGAUUCUUCCCGCUCCCGCAAGCAAUAAGCCUCUCCUCCGUGCGAUCUGAUGAGCUGAGCCGCUGGUGGUGGUGGACGAGAGAGGAAUUCU